CUUGUCAUGAACGUGUGCGUGGUCAGUACACACCCCCAGCCCCUGGGCACAGGUGAGAGCACUGAGACCCAGAGAGGAGCAUGACUUCCUUGUGGCCACGGAGCAGAUGCCCCUCGGAGCCAAGACCCAACCCAGGCCUCCUCGGCAGAGGUCCCAGGAGGCCACCGAGCCCACCUCUGGAGUGCUGGCAGCUUGGCUCACAGAGAAUCAUGCUUAACCCAGCGUAGGUCUGGCCCCGACAGAAUGGUGACUUUGUGACCCGAUGAACUGCCUCCCCUCCCCCAGCCAUAUCCACCCACCUGCAAGAACUUGUCAAAGUGGACAAAAGAUCCCUUCAGCUCCCGCUCCUUCUGUUCCAACUGUUCCCGGCGCUGUUUCUGGGCUGCCGUCAAAGCCUGGAACACCUGGGGAGAGGGUCUGAAAAAGUCUCAGGGACUGCAGUGGAGGCUCACCUCCUUCUGGGUCUGCAGAUCCCGGUCCGCAUCCAUCAGCUCUUGCCUCUUCUCCAGGAGGCGCAGCACCGGCGGGAUGUGGUCCACAUUGUGCUCCGGGAUCUUCCUGGAGGGGCUCCAAGGGGGAGAUGGGAAUGAAGGAGGCAAGAGUCAGGGCCCCCAAACCCCCCUCUAGUGCUUGAAAUGCCCCCACGAGCCAUAUACUAGUUGUUGAGUUGUUCAUUCAUUCAACAUAUCGUACAGAGCAACUACUCUGCCGGGCACCUUUCUAGGCACGGGGCGGGGGGAGGCAGUGCAAAAUCCCCACCUUCCAGAAGCUGGCAUUCUGCUGGGGUGGGGGCACAGGAAAUAAAGCUAACAGAUAAUAAAUAAGGCCAGGGCAUGGUAGGUGUCUGAUGAAGUAUUAAGCAGGCAAAAGGAAGUCUUUCAAUGGGGAGGUGAAAAAGUCUCUCCAAGAAGACCCUGAGGUCACCCGGGCAGAGACCCGUGGGAGCAAGAGGAGGUCAACACGUGGAUACCUGCAGGGAACGGCCAAUGCCAAGGCCUCAAGAGAAGGACUUUGGAUUGUAGAAGGCUCUCGAGGCUGCAGUGGGGGCCGAGAACCAUAGGAGAGGCAGGGCAGCUGCAGGAGAUGGUGAAGGGGUUCUGGGAUAACACAGAGACAGUGUGGGUCUGGUCAGGUGGUCAUAGGGGAGAGGCGAGGAGUGCGGUCACGCUCAGUUUGAGAGCAGAGUUGAUGCGGUGACCCAGGGCGGGGUUGAGAAAGGAGACUAAGGGGAGUU